rnacentral:rRNA from 1 species
UCGUAACAAGGUCUCCGUUGGUGAACCAGCGGAGGGAUCAUUACAGAGUUGAAAAACUCCAACCCCUGUGAACCUACCUUUACUGUUGCUUCGGCGGACGAUGGCCCCAGGGCCGGACGCCGCCGGAGGUUACAAACCCUGAAUUUUUAGUGUAUCUCUGAGCACAAAAACAAAUAAUUAAAACUUUCAACAACGGAUCUCUUGGUUCUGGCAUCGAUGAAGAACGCAGCGAAAUGCGAUAAGUAAUGUGAAUUGCAGAAUUCAGUGAAUCAUCGAAUCUUUGAACGCACAUUGCGCCCGCCGGUAUUCCGGCGGGCAUGCCUGUCCGAGCGUCAUUUCACCACUCAAGCCCAGCUUGGUGUUGGGGCACCCGGCCGCCCGGCGGUCGGGGCCCCCAAGAACAUCGGCGGUCUCGCUGGGACCCUGAACGCAGUAACUCGCGGUAAAACGCGCUUCGUUCGGAGGCUUUUCCCGGCGGGCUCCAGCCGCUAAAACCCCCUAAAAUUCUUAGGUUGACCUCGGAUCAGGUAGGAAUACCCGCUGAACUUAAGCAUAUCAAUAA